GGGUAUAGCUCAGUGGUAGAGUGCAUGCUUAGCAUGCACGAGGUCCUGGGUUCAAUCCCCAGUGCCUCCA
rnacentral:tRNA from 1 species